rnacentral:rRNA from 1 species
AGUGAACGCUGGCGGUAGGCCUAACACAUGCAAGUCGAACGGCAGCACAGUAAGAGCUUGCUCUUACGGGUGGCGAGUGCGGACGGGGGAGGAAAACAACGGAAUCUACUUUUUUGUGGGGGAUAAAGGAGGGAAACUUACGCUAAUACCGCAUACGGCCUACCGGUGAAAGGAAGGGAUCUUUGGAACUUUCGCGGAUGAAUGAGCCGAUGUCGGAUUAGCUAGUUGGCGGGGUAAAGGGCCACCAAGGCGACGAUCCGUAGCUGGUCUGAGAGGAUGAUCAGCCACACUGGAACUGAGACACGGUCCAGACUCCUACGGGAGGCAGCAGUGGGGAAUAUUGGACAAUGGGCGCAAGCCUGAUCCAGCCAUACCGCGUGGGUGAAGAAGGCCUUCGGGUUGUAAAGCCCUUUUGUUGGGAAAGAAAAGCAGCAGGUUAAUACCCCGCUGUUCUGACGGUACCCAAAGAAUAAGCACCGGCUAACUUCGC